GUGUCAGGUGGGAUCGUCUUUACCUGUUCCUCCUUUUGGAGGGCAGACUGGAAUAUGAUGACUGGAGUUUGCACGAUAGCGAUUCUCAUCUCUGCACCAUCAGGAU